rnacentral:rRNA from 1 species
GACGAACGCUGGCGGCGUGCUUAACACAUGCAAGUCGUACGGUAAGGCCCUUUCGGGGGUACACGAGUGGCGAACGGGUGAGUAACACGUGCGUAACCUGCCCACAACUUUGGGAUAACGCUAGGAAACUGGUGCUAAUACUGGCUAUGUGCUACUGCUGCAUGGUGGGGGUUGGAAAGCUCCGGCGGUUGUGGAUGGACUCGCGGCCUAUCAGCUUGUUGGUGGGGUAGUGGCCUACCAAGGCGGCGACGGGUAGCCGGCCUGGGAGGGUGACCGGCCACAUUGGGACUGGGAUACGGCCCAGACUCCUACGGGAGGCAGCAGUGGGGAAUAUUGCACAAUGGGCGCAAGCCUGAUGCAGCAACGCCGCGUGCGGGAUGACGGCCUUCGGGUUGUAAACCGCUUUCAGCAGGGACGAAGCUUUUUGUGACGGUACCUGCAGAAGAAGCACCGGCUAACUACGUG